rnacentral:rRNA from 1 species
UGGGGAAUAUUGCACAAUGGGCGAAAGCCUGAUGCAGCAACGCCGCGUGAGUGAUGAAGGCCUUCGGGUUGUAAAGCUCUGUCUUCUGGGACGAUAAUGACGGUACCAGAGGAGGAAGCCACGGCUAACUACGUGCCAGCAGCCGCGGUAAUACGUAGGUGGCAAGCGUUGUCCGGAUUUAUUGGGUUUAAAGGGUCCGUAGGCGGACUUAUAAGUCAGUGGUGAAAGCCUGUCGCUUAACGAUAGAACUGCCAUUGAUACUGUAAGUCUUGAGUAUAAUGGAGGUAGCUGGAAUAAGUAGUGUAGCGGUGAAAUGCAUAGAGAUUACUUAGAACACCAAUUGCGAAGGCAGGUUACCAAGAUAUAACUGACGCUGAGGGACGA